rnacentral:tRNA from 1 species
GGUAAGAUAGCCCAGGGUUAGGCGGCGGGUUGUAGCCCCGAAGACGAGGGUUUAAGUCCCUCUCUUAUCA